AUUGAACGCUGGCGGCAUGCUUUACACAUGCAAGUCGAACGGGGUGAAGGGGCAACUCUUCAUUCAGUGGCGAACGGGUGAGUAAUGCAUCGGAACGUACCUCGUAGUGGGGAUAACUCGGCGAAAGCCGUGCUAAUACCGCAUAUGCUCUACGGAUCUUGUUGGGAAAGAUGGCCUCUCCUUGGAAGCUGUCACCGGAAGAUGAGCCCCGCGGCCCACAGCUAGUUGGUGAGGUAAUGGCGUCACCAAGGCUUAUACGGGUAGGCUGGUCUGAGAGGAUGAUCAGCCACCACUGGGACUGCGACACGGCCCA
rnacentral:rRNA from 1 species